AGAGUUUGAUCCUGGCUCAGGACGAACGCUGGCGGCGUGCCUAAUACAUGCAAGUCGAACGCUGAAGAGAGGAGCUUGCUCUUCUUGGAUGAGUUGCGAACGGGUGAGUAACGCGUAGGUAACCUGCCUUGUAGCGGGGGAUAACUAUUGGAAACGAUAGCUAAUACCGCAUAACAAUGGAUGACACAUGUCAUUUAUUUGAAAGGGGCAAAUGCUCCACUACAAGAUGGACCUGCGUUGUAUUAGCUAGUAGGUGAGGUAACGGCUCACCUAGGCGACGAUACAUAGCCGACCUGAGAGGGUGAUCGGCCACACUGGGACUGAGACACGGCCCAGACUCCUACGGGAGGCAGCAGUAGGGAAUCUUCGGCAAUGGGGGCAACCCUGACCGAGCAACGCCGCGUGAGUGAAGAAGGUUUUCGGAUCGUAAAGCUCUGUUGUAAGUCAAGAACGAGUGUGAGAGUGGAAAGUUCACACUGUGACGGUAGCUUACCAGAAAGGGACGGCUAACUACGUGCCAGCAGCCGCGGUAAUACGUAGGUCCCGAGCGUUAUCCGGAUUUAUUGGGCGUAAAGCGAGCGCAGGCGGUUUGAUAAGUCUGAAGUUAAAGGCUGUGGCUCAACCAUAGUUCGCUUUGGAAACUGUCAAACUUGAGUGCAGAAGGGGAGAGUGGAAUUCCAUGUGUAGCGGUGAAAUGCGUAGAUAUAUGGAGGAACACCGGUGGCGAAAGCGGCUCUCUGGUCUGUAACUGACGCUGAGGCUCGAAAGCGUGGGGAGCGAACAGGAUUAGAUACCCUGGUAGUCCACGCCGUAAACGAUGAGUGCUAGGUGUUGGAUCCUUUCCGGGAUUCAGUGCCGCAGCUAACGCAUUAAGCACUCCGCCUGGGGAGUACGACCGCAAGGUUGAAACUCAAAGGAA
rnacentral:rRNA from 1 species